rnacentral:rRNA from 1 species
AUUGAACGCUGGCGGCAGGCCUAACACAUGCAAGUCGAGCGGAUGAAGGGAGCUUGCUCCUGGAUUCAGCGGCGGACGGGUGAGUAAUGCCUAGGAAUCUGCCUGGUAGUGGGGGAUAACGUCCGGAAACGGGCGCUAAUACCGCAUACGUCCUGAGGGAGAAAGUGGGGGAUCUUCGGACCUCACGCUAUCAGAUGAGCCUAGGUCGGAUUAGCUAGUUGGUGGGGUAAAGGCCUACCAAGGCGACGAUCCGUAACUGGUCUGAGAGGAUGAUUAGUCACACUGGAACUGAGACACGGUCCAGACUCCUACGGGAGGCAGCAGUGGGGAAUAUUGGACAAUGGGCGAAAGCCUGAUCCAGCCAUGCCGCGUGUGUGAAGAAGGUCUUCGGAUUGUAAAGCACUUUAAGUUGGGAGGAAGGGCAGUAAGUUAAUACCUUGCUGUUUUGACGUUACCAACAGAAUAAGCACCGGCUAACUUCGCG